rnacentral:lncRNA from 1 species
GGAACCGCCUAAGACACCACCCCAGCCAGCAUGGCCGGCAGGAGCGCACCGCGCUGUCUCCCUCCAGGGAUCCGCACCGCCCUACAAUCCUGCUUUGUGCUGAGAUUGUAGUCCUGCAGGCGUACAACUAACAAGCUGGGUGCAGAUAAGAGACUACAGCUCCCCGCAUCCCAAGCAAAGGUCCCUCCUCUACGGAGCCCCUCCACGCGUCCACUGCGGUUCCGCCGUGCCAAGGGGAGCUUGGCUGUUCACGGGCCUCACCUGCUAGCGAGAAGAUAGCUUGGCCGGGCGGCUGAUCUCACCUUGUAAUUCUGACACUGUGUCUCCCGGGCUUGUCGGCUUCAUGACUUGUGCCCAAAGUUUGAUUUCUCGCAGACCAGGUAAAAGCCAAGAGGCUCUCAUAGGCGCCUUGGCAGAGUUGCCAUUGGAACGGGCGUCCUCUAGUAGCUGGGAUCUCCCCGCCCCUUCCUCCUGAGGGGCCACUCCUUUCUGCCCCACCCUUCUUAUUGCCCCACCCUUUGCCACACUCCUUCAGAGAUGCGCAGUGCUGCCCCUUUCUAUGGGCAGGGCCGAAGGUCCGCGUGUAAAAGUACCCAGUCCCUGGUAACCUGACACUUCCCUUUUAAAAGCCACCUUUUGUCUAUCUCUGGCCUGCCACGAUUCUUCCUGUGCUCCAUAGGAGGACCCAUUGGACCCCCGGGCUGGCUGCAGGGCCCACACCUGGGUUAGACCUCGCACAGGGACGCUGCUGCCACUGUAAUAAAGCGUGCCUACACGCUUCUGAAACUGGUGUAGGAACAACCUCAGUUCUGUGAAAGGCGGACGCAGCAGGACAGAAUCUCCGUGGACAUCUGUCUGGAGGAGCAAUUUUACUGCGACAUUUUAAAGAAACAAAUUUAAUUGAUUUCCAAGGUAAGAAAUUAAACCUUGAAAACUAAACUGAAAAGUCAUCUGUGUUUGACAAGUCAGACUUUCUCCAAGAAGAAAA